rnacentral:rRNA from 1 species
UACGUAGGUGGCAAGCGUUGUCCGGAUUUAUUGGGUUUAAAGGGUGCGUAGGCGGCCUUGUAAGUCAGUGCUGAAAUACCCCGGCUUAACCGGGGGGGUGGCAUUGAUACUGCGGGGCUUGAGUACAGAUGAGGUAGGCGGAAUUGACGGUGUAGCGGUGAAAUGCAUAGAUAUCGUCAAGAACACCGAUAGCGAAGGCAGCUUACUGGGCUGUAACUGACGCUGAUGCACGAAAGUGUGGGGAUCAAACAGG